AGGCAGAAUAAAACCUAUGUUCUACGUUCAAGCAAAUAUACCUCCUGUGCAAUGUCGUCAACGAAAACUGGAGUAAGAAAAGGAAGCCAACAUAAACGUGUCCAACUCAUUGUCUUCUUUUCUGAAGACUGGAUAUCUAUAAUACACAGGACUUACUGUAACAAAACGUUGGAUUUUGGGUCAGAUCUGCAAUCAUAAGUCCAAAGGAGGAGGAGAAAAUUCUACUUGCAGUCCAACAUUGGAAAUGCGCUCAAGAAGCAACAGCCUGGAAAGCUCAUCCAAAACUAAAAGGUUGCAUCAAAGAGCAAGGUCACGUCAUCGAAAUUCUGAAAAGGACGGGUUGAACUCAGGGGCAGUUAAAAUGAACAAUCAAAGAGAAAGAGUCUUUAUGGAAGAGGCGGGGACUGUUUUGCGAAACCACAAAACAAGGACGUCAUCCAAAAAACAUGAAGAUCUUUCUCGAGAUGACCUAUUGUUCCUGCUUAGUAUACUUGAAGGUGAAUUAGAGGCCCGAGAUGAAGUAAUAACUGUAUUAAAAGCGGAAAAAAUUGACUUGGCACUUCUAGAAGCACAGUAUGGCUUUGUUAUGCCAAAGAAGGUGCUACAAGCUCUCCAACGGGACACAAUCCAAGCAAAAGCAGACUCACUGCAGGAAGACAUCUAUGAAAAACCAAUGGUCGAGCUCGACAAAAUAGUUGAGAAACAGAAAGAGACACACAGACGGAUGUUAGAGCAACUUCUCUUGGUAGAACGAUCCCACAGACAGACAGUAAAUGAAUUGGAGGAUGAGAAAAAGAAGCAUGUGGACUACAUGGAAAAGAGUGAUGAAUUCACCAAUCUUCUUGAACAAGAACGUGAACGAUUGAAAAAGUUAAUUGACCAAGAAAAGGCCUACCAGGUGAAAAAGGAUCAAGAAAAUGUCAAAAAAAUUACAAAACUAAAGGAAGAGCUUACCAAACUGAAAUCAUUUGCAUUGAUACUGGUGGAUGAACAACAACGGCUUUCAGAACAGCUUAACCAACAGAGUCAAAAAGUUCAAGUGCUAUCAGUCACUGCACAGCAAGCUCAGGAGAAAUUAACAGCCUCUGAGGAAAGGGCAACAGAAGAAGAAAACAAAGUGUUCACUCUUGAGAUUGAACUGCAAGCACAAGCCAGUAGAUUUUAUCAGGAACAGGAAACAACAAUGGCCAAAUUGACCAAUGAAGAAAGUCAGAAUCGACAGCUUCGUUUAAAACUCGCAACACUCAGCCGACAGAUAGAUGAACUGGAGGAGACUAAUAAAUCAUUGAAGAAAGCAGAAGGGGAACUGCAGGAUUUGAGGGAAAAAAUAAACCGAGGGGAAUGUGGGAAUUCCAGUUUGAUGGCAGAAGUGGAAGACCUGCGGAAGCGCGUGUUGGAAAUGGAAGGAAAAGAUGAGGAACUCUUAAAAAUGGAGGACCAGUGCAGGGAUCUCAAUAGAAAAAUAGAAAAGGAAGAAAGCCACAGCAGGAACCUAAAAACUGAGGUAGAGAAAUUAAAGAAGAGAAUAAUGGAAUUGGAAAAAUUAGAGGAUGCCUUCAGUAAAAGUAAGCAGGAAUGUUAUGUGCUUAAAUGUAAUCUGGAAAAAGAGAAGAAUCUAACAAAGAAAUUAGAAAAUGAAUUGGAAACCUUAAAAGUGAGAGUUAGGGAGCUUGAAGCAAUUGAAAACAAACUGGAGAAAACUGAAUUGGCCAUGAAGGAGGACCUAAGCAAGCUUAAAACAUUAACCGUGAUGUUGGUUGAUGAAAGAAAAACUAUGGCCGAGAAGAUGAGACAGACAGAGGAUAAAUUUCAAAAUGCAAGUACCCAACUUCAAAUAGAGGAAAAUAAAGUUACAGUUGUGACAGAAAAACUAAUUGAGGAAAGUAAAAAGGCAUUGAAGUCCAAAGCAGAAUUGGAAGAAAAAACAUACAGUUUGACCAAGGAAAGGGACGAGCUUAAAAAGAAGCUAAAAACAGAGGAAGAGCGAGGAAAUGACCUCUUGUCCAAGUCCAACCUCCUAAAGAAGAGACUCCAGUCCCUUGAAGCAGUUGAAAAGGAGUACCUCAAAAACAAAGGAAAACAAGAGUCUGGCAAAUCUCCUAAACAUUUUCAACAGGAUGACAACAAAGUAAGAGAAUUAACUCAUGAGGUUGAAAGGCUUAAACACAAAUUAAAAGAGAUGCAAGUUGUAGAAGAUGACCUAAUGAAGACAGAAGAUGACUAUGACUCACUGGAGCAUAGGUAUUACGAUGAACAACAGGAGCUGAAAUUAUUAUCAGGGGAGCUUGAGGCUGUGAAGAAGGAAUUGGCCAGAUAUAAGCUAGCUGAAAAGGCUGAAUCAACCCACGAACAAAUACUGUUUGACAGACUCAGUGAGGAACAGGCAAAAUCUAGCCAUCUAACAAGAGAAGUCGAAGCCCUCAAAGAUAAAAUUCAUGACUAUAUGGCAACAGACGACUUAUUAUGUCACUUUAAAGCAGAGCAGACAUCACUGCAAAAAAAGCUGACUCAACAGGAAAACCGAAACAAAGAACUGUCAAGAGAAACUGAAAAUCUUACUAAAGAACUGGAGAGAUACAGACGGUUCAGCAAGAGCCUUCGGCCUGGCAUGAAUGGCAGGAGGUUUGGGGAAUUACAAUUCUGCUCAAAAGAGAUCCAGACUGAUGCAUUAGACAAUGAACCACCUGAUUACAGAAGCCUUAUCCCUUUAGAAAAAGCAGUUGUGAAUGGAAAGAUAUGCAUAGAAAAUGAAGAAGCUGAUUACACUUCUCUAGAUGAUCAAUCCUUGCAAGUAAACUACAACUCGUUAACUGUAAAUAGCGUCAAUAAUAAGAAGUCAUGGAUACCAUGGAUGAAGAGCAAGGAAACUUGUGCACAAAAUGGAAAAGCUGUAACCAAACAGAAUGGAAAUCUGGUGCAACCAGGUGAAAUGGUGCUUACUCAGAAACAAGGCCAACCUCUUCACAUAAAAGUAACACCAGAUCAUGGGCACAGCACAGCUACUCUCGAAAUCACUAGCCCCACUUUAGAAAAUCCAUUCUCUUACACUAGCACAGCGGUUAUCCCCAACUGCGGUGUUCCAAAGCAAAGAAUAACCAUUAUUCAGAAUGCCUCAAUCACACCCGUAAAAUCAAAGCCAUCCGAUGCAUUCUCCACACCAGAUCGUGCCCUGACACCCCUUACCAGGACUACAGUUUCGAAAUCAAGAACUCCAGACUCAUGUGGUUCAAUUACUCCAGAAAGGACAUUGUCACCAAUUCAAAUAGUCGCUGUAACUGCAAGCUCAUCAGAACAAGCUCUGUCACCUGAGCCAACAGAAGUUGCUACAGCUCAUACAAUCUUUAGAGUGUCACCUGAAAGGAUACAAGGGCGGCAGAUACAAAAGUCAAACACAAGUCCUAACGUAAUUACAACUGAAGACAAUAAAAUCCAUAUCCACUUAGGUAAUCCCCACAUUCAAACAGCUUCACCUGUCUCAAGACCAAUGAGCCCAUGCAGUUCAAUCCAGGAGAUCAGAACUCCAGCUAUAACUAAUGGGACACCAAAUAAGUCAACCAACAAAAUCACCAGCAGUAUUACUAUUACACCAACAGCCACACCUGCCCCACGCCAUUCACAAAUUACAGACAAAGUGGCACAGAACCAGUGGCAGCAGAAGCUAACUGGAGGGUGACAGGCUCGAUUACCUGUCCUAAUCCCCAUGGAGAAGAUGGUGCUGGUCAUCAAUGGGGUGCCAUUGCUGAGAAUAGUGGGGCCGUUUAAGACCUCAGGGGUUGGUCGUCCCUGCCCUCUGCCAGUCAUCCCCAGCCCAGUGAGGGUCCCGUGCUCAGGGUUACAAGCUAUGGUCAAUGGUGGAAUCAAUGAAUUUUCGGUAGUGAUGGUGGAAGAAUUAGAACGGCGAGGGACAAUGGCUGCUUACAGGUGGAGGAACCGUCAGGAAGAGGACUUGUGUUUCCUUUAAGCACGCAUGAGGAAGGCAAUGAGGAACCAUCUCAUGUAUUCUUUUCCCUAGUCAUAUGCUCAUUGAAAUUGAAAAUGGGAGGCUUCUGUGAGCAACUGAAGAGGAAAGUGCACAGAGAAGUGAGCAGAGAACUAUUGGGCAGAUCACUCCUACACAUUGCUGAGGUCUUGGCAAGAUGAUGAUACCCAAGGGGUGCACCCUUGCCACGUAAUGGAGAAACACCAUUAAGAGAGCAAUGAUUAAGAGACAGCACCAUCACUUGACUUCACACUCCCAGCCAUCAGUUCAGAUAUUGACACUGCACGUAUCUUAGAGGAUAGAUGCAAGGCAAGAUUUUCACAUGACAAGACACCAGACAUGAGUAAGCUGCAGCCUGCGAAGGAGGAAGGAUAGCAUAGGUGCCAGUUUGCCAGCCAGGUUCUGAAUGGGUUUCACUCGAGGACUCGGAUGAAGCCUUCAAUGGGUAGCCACUGAAAAACGCUGAUGGAUAUGCACAACAAAAUACUUUGGUAUUUGGAAGCCUAUCUAAAAGCCUGCAGUCAGCAUUAAGAAGCAUGUUGGAGUCUAUCACCAACUUGGCACAGGGAUUAAUGCAGGCCUUGGGAGGCCAUUAUUUCCAGUAUGGAAGUGGUGGCCAACUCCGUUCGCACACUUGUGGGUCGAACCAUGCUGUGAUGUCUGGUGGUCAAUGUUGCAGCUUACAUUGCAGUAUAUACAGCAACCAACUAACAUCUGAGUGGUCUAUUGGAAGUUCAGACUGCUGUGGAUUACAAUGUACAACAGUCCAGUAAUCUCGCCUCUAACAGAUUACUUGUUGAGUAAUCUCAAUGAAGAUUGUUGAGUUGUCACCAUAGGGAAGUGGCAGUGGUUCCGUGGGUCAUGACCCUGCAGUCCUCUCUCAGGAAGACAGCAUUCUUCCUUCCACCCCAACCACCCCACUAAUAUCUUUGUUACCUGUCUGCAGCAAUAAGAAUUAAAUAAAUACAUCACUUUUCUUGCAAAUUUAUAAAAACAAAAAUAAACUUCCCAUGA